GGGGCGCUCGCACGUGGAGCGCGCUUCGGGAUGAGGCGGGACGGGCGAGUCUUAGACCCUGUACCAGCUUGAAUGACCUCUGAACUUUCACUUCACUGGGACCACAUUUGGGCUCCUGAAGAAGAGAAGCACUAGAAAGUUUGCCAGCAGAAAGAAGGGAAGAUGGAAAGCACAGUGUAAGGAUCACACAGCACAGCCACAAACCUGAGGCCCACAGAUAGAAGGCACCCACAGGAAUUUGGUCUCAAUGUGCUAAAGCUCUGAUGAAGCACCCAGUGACUGCUGGCUCCCAUGUCCUAUUUUGGAAGGCUGAGUGCUGCCUUCCUCCCCAACACUCCCCUAUUGCUGGGGCAAUGCUUUCUACAAGCUGACCUCAGCAUACAGCCGAAUAAAAAUACUGGUAUUAGA